rnacentral:lncRNA from 1 species
AAGGUUCUGAAAAAUAUUAUUAUUAUUAUUGCUUGAAUUCAUCAACAAUCCAGUAAGAAGCCUCUGAAAAUGAAAUCACAAGACUGGAGCCCUGGAAACUGUAGGCUAACAAUGCUACUCAGAAGUAAAAUUUAAGGCUUUUAAAGGGCUUUAGAGCCAUGAUCUAAUUUGAGUCUUACAACACUCCCGGUCAAGCCACUUUCUUCCGAGCCAGCUGGUUCCGCACUAGCUCUACUCCCCCAUUGACGGUCCAGACACCCUUCCUGACGUCGAUGUUGAGUUAGUCUGGACACCCAGCAACACUUCGCUGACUAGCCAGUCACUCUCUCUAACCUAGCUCGAACCCGGAAUCCGAAAUCAUUCCAAACAAACUGCAAACCUGACCUCUUUCCCCGCACUCUGCCCUGCCUGCCCAAACUUUGCCUGCUCUGCGGAUUACCGGCUCCGCGAGAACUCCCUCAUGUGUCCUCCUCCUCCAAGGCAGGAGUAAUCCCUGCUGGCAGCUGCUCCCUUUUCAGUUACCGUUACAUAAAUUUAUGGAAGGAAAGUGAGAUGCCAAAUUUAGAUAAGGCAGAGAUGCUGCCCUCGUGGAGUUUAUCAUCUUGCAAGAUUUCUCGAUCUGUGCCAGUUUCAUUUCCAUCCUGGAGAAACCUCUAUCUACGAAUAUACUAAAUUGACUGGAAGAGAAGCCUACUAGGAGGGAUACUUUGCAGGAGGAAAUAACCACAGUCAUAAGGGGGCUGGUCCAAGCCCCUAUUCCCCAUGAUGCCUAGUGGAAACAGCUAUCAAAAAAAGGCCCUGUGAAUUCGGGAAAAGUCUUUCAUGAAACAGACACAGCAGAUCUUACUAUCAAAACACUGACCUUGGGAGAAUGGGAAAUAAAUUGACAGGUUUACUGAAGAUAUAUACUAUC